rnacentral:misc_RNA from 1 species
CGCUACGAAAAAAGAUACCACCAAACAUCCUACUGAACGGCACGCAUAUAACGCAAACAAAGCAUGUCAAAUACCUAGGACUCCACUUAGAUACACAACUCACAUGGAAACUACAUACCAAAUCAAUAGUAAAAAAAAAUACAGAAAACAAGGGGGCAAAUGCAUUGGCUAACAAGCCGAAAAUCCAAAUUAACCAUAGAAAAUAAAUUAAAAAUAUAUAAAACGAUCAUAAAACCAAUCUGGACGUACGGAAUACCACUAUGGGGGACGGCAGCAAUGAGCCAUAUAAACAAAAUAGAGAUAAUGCAAGCUAAAAUCCUCAGAACAAUAGUGAACGCACCAUGGUACGUUAGAAAUGAUGACAUACGGAGGGACCUGGGGAUCCCAACGGUCAAGGAAGAAAUUAGCAGAUACUCCGAGAAAUACAAAUCAAGAAUAGCAACACACACAAACCGGCUAGCUGCGGAAACGUACAAAACCAUAAACAUGGACAGAAGGCUAAAAAGGAAGCACCCAGCGGACCUCAUAAAGGAUAUAACCUAGCAAACGCGAGGAUAGUACCCCACUGGGGGUAGCCACCAACAUGUUAAUAUAACUGUUAAAAAAUUCUACCAAAUGUCCAAAUUGGACAAAUUGUGAAUUUCAAUAAAUAAAAAAAAAAAAAAACAGUAUGAUAAAGCUCAAAGAGAACGUGUGAUGUAGUUCACACACUUUUCGUGGUAACAGUAUGAUAAAGCUCAGUGGGAACAUGUAACGUAGUUUACAUGCUUCUCGGAGUGACAAUAUGGUAAAGCUCAGUGAGACCGUGGAACGAAGUUCUAUGUGCUCAUACGAUCUAGAAAACCGAGAUUCAUUUGGGUACGAAAUCGAGAAUGGUCCAUCAUGCCGUUACGACCCGACUGAUAACCCGCAGGAUGCAACUAUCACCUUGAAUACUAAUCAUAAUGCUACCAAUUUUCAUUCUCUUUUAUUUUUUUGCUGUCAAACCUCUGAACAGAAUUUUGUUGUUACACUGGACCCUUGGC